ensembl:snRNA U6 U6 spliceosomal RNA
UUCAGUAAUACAUGUCCUGAAAUGUACAUGUCCGAAAGUGACACAGAGAAGAUUGGCAUGGUCCCCGUGCAAGGGUGACAUGCAUAUUUGUCAAGUGUUCCAUAUUGAA